rnacentral:rRNA from 1 species
CCGCAUGGUUCAGACAUAAAAGGUGGCUUCGGCUACCACUUACAGAUGGACCCGCGGCGCAUUAGCUAGUUGGUGAGGUAACGGCUCACCAAGGCAACGAUGCGUAGCCGACCUGAGAGGGUGAUCGGCCACACUGGGACUGAGACACGGCCCAGACUCCUACGGGAGGCAGCAGUAGGGAAUCUUCCGCAAUGGACGAAAGUCUGACGGAGCAACGCCGCGUGAGUGAUGAAGGUUUUCGGAUCGUAAAGCUCUGUUGUUAGGGAAGAACAAGUACCGUUCGAAUAGGGCGGUACCUUGACGGUACCUAACCAGAAAGCCACGGCUAACUACGUGCCAGCAGCCGCGGUAAUACGUAGGUGGCAAGCGUUGUCCGGAAUUAUUGGGCGUAAAGGGCCCGCAGGCGGUUUCUUAAGUCUGAUGUGAAAGCCCCCGGCUCAACCGGGGAGGGUCAUUGGAAACUGGGGAACUUGAGUGCAGAAGAGGAGAGUGGAAUUCCACGUGUAG